ensembl:lncRNA
GUUACAGAUGUGCACAGGGAGCUCGCAGUCCGCGCGGCUGCCUACGGCAGAGGAGGGGAGAGAGAACUCCGCAGGGCGCGCCGUUGGCUUCUGCGUGAGUGACAACGCUGCUUUCCCAGUUCGACCCCGUCUCCCCUGCGCUCGGCGGAGGGCUGCAGUGAGCAUCGUUUAUCCUUUGGGGCGUUUAUCCUUCUCCAGGAAGAGCCAGUUGUGUUUGGUCCCUCGUACCUGGCCAUCCCCAGGCUGGAUUCUUCGGAGGUGGGCUUUUACACUCUCCUUAGUGGAUUCUGACUUCUUGUGUCUGACGAGCCUGGGCAGUACUACCUCUCCUGACCAGGGACCGAAAGUGCCCUGGUAGGCUCAUUCCACACCCGGCUUCUCGUCAGGAAGAGCUUACCCAGGCAUUCAGGCAUCAGGAUCAAUGAUGAACUUUCAAAAAGGAAAAAGAUGGAAAAUCAUCGAAAUUAUCAUAAUCUGUGCUCCCAACUAAAUGAGUGUUUCCUUGUAGCAUGAGCAGUCAAAGGAAAUUAUAUUCCUGUGUUAGUCUACCAACAGCCUAUCUGCACACUGUCUUCAUCUAGACUAUUCUUGAAAGCAGAGCCUGAGACAAAGGUAGAGACAUAUUCUGUUUGGAAAUGUGGUCCCAGGGAACAAGGAUGAGACAAGGGAGGAAACAGGUGGAAAAGGAAAGAAUGUCCAAGCAAAAAAGAAUUGUCUGCCUGAGGGAUGAAAAGAAGAAGCAUUUAUCUGUCAGCUGAUAUCACCUGUGUGCUGAGGGCUGCUCCCAUGGGGCAGCAACACCCCCACGAGGAGAGACUCACUGGGCUACAGCAUCACACGGGCUGCAGCAGAGAUGCUUCAGGACAAGAAGCUAGAUUCUUGAUACAAGCCUGAGAUGAGGCACUGUGAAACCUGCCCAGAGCUGUUCACCGAAGCCACAGCUGGAAUUGGAGGUGGAAGAGAUGGGAGGCAGUGCACAGGAGGCAUCUCUGAAGCCUGGAGAGUGUGCUGUUAGCCUUGUCUAAAUCCUCUCUCCUUUCCAUCAUCACAAUUUCAUUGUCCAGAACAGAGGUUGGCACAGGGCUAAAUAGGAAGGCUAAAUGUAUUUCCUAGAAGCUGUAUGUUAAUAACAGUUUUAACCUUGAGUAAUGUGCAUAAGAAACAGAAAAUGACAUUAGAACUUGAAAAAACUUAAGUUACUCUAUUGGAUAGCAGUAUUAGAUAUCCUCUAAAUUCGUGUAAUCUGAGAAGUAAUCAUAAAUUGGAGAAAUAAAAUCAACCAUUUCUUAUAUUUCUAUCAGCUUUAUAAAUCAGUGUCAUUAGUUUUUCCUAAGAUAGUGUCUUUUAUUGUUACAUAGCACUAGUGAUAUGGAAAUUACAACCAAUGAAGGGAACACUGGUAGGAACACAGGAAUGAAAAAUGUUGGAAUAAUUUCCAUCACUUAAAGGGUUGGUAUUAAUAUAGGUUGGAAUCAAGGCAGGGGAUGGGGGAUAACUGCACAUUUUGACUUGGGGUUCUUCUUUGAAGUUCCAUUUUACCAGAAAUAAUUUUCUCUCUGCCUACAUCCAUGUGAUAGCAUAAUCAUCCUCUCUUAUCUGAUCUGCAAUUACCAUCAAUAAGAAUAAACUUUUGAGUUACUUA